rnacentral:rRNA from 1 species
GAUGAACGCUAGCGGCAGGCUUAAUACAUGCAAGUCGAGGGGCAUCAAGGUACACGAAAGUGUAUUGUUGGCGACCGGCGGACGGGUGAGUAAUAGGUAGGUAACCUACCUCAUACUGAGGCAUAGCUGGGAGAAAUUCCAGGUAAUUCCUCAUGAGGUUAUAUGACACAUGUGAUAUAAUCAAAGGUAUCGCAAGGUACUGGUAUGAGAUGGGCUUACUGACCAUUAGCUAGUUGGUGAGAUAAGAGCUCACCAAGGCGAAGAUGGUUAGGGGUUUUGAGAGAGAGAUCCCCCACAUUGGAACUGAGAUACGGUCCAGACUCCUACGGGAGGCAGCAGUAGGGAAUAUUGGGCAAUGGGCGGAAGCCUGACCCAGCCAUGCCGCGUGAAGGAAGACGGCCUUAUGGGUUGUAAACUUCUUUACUAUGCGACUAACUAGAUUUACGAGAUAAUUCUAUAGAAUGUAGCAUAGCAAAAGCACC